UACGUAGGGGGCUAGCGUUGCUCGGAAUCACUGGGCGUAAAGCGCACGUAGGCGGCUUGUUAAGUCAGGGGUGAAAUCCUGGAGCUCAACUCCAGAACUGCCUUUGAUACUGGCGAUCUUGAGUCCGGGAGAGGUGAGUGGAACUGCGAGUGUAGAGGUGAAAUUCGUAGAUAUUCGCAAGAACACCAGUGGCGAAGGCGGCUCACUGGCCCGGUACUGACGCUGAGGUGCGAAAGCGUGGGGAGCAAACAGG
rnacentral:rRNA from 1 species